AUAGCCCGAGUUGAGUAGACUGAUCGGCCACAUUGGGGACUGAGACACGGGCCCAAACUCCUACGGGAGGCAGCAGUAGGGAAUCUUCCACAAUGGACGCAAGUCUGAUGGAGCAAACGCCGCGUGAGUGAAGAAGGGUUUCGGCUCGUAAAAAGCUCUGUUGUUGGUGAAGAAGGACAGGGGGUAGUAACUGACCCUUUGUUUGACGGUAAUCAAUUAGAAAGUCACGGGCUAACUACGUGCCAGCAGCCGCGGUAAAU
rnacentral:rRNA from 1 species